rnacentral:rRNA from 1 species
CCUACGGGUGGCAGCAGUGAGGAAUAUUGGUCAAUGGCCGGAAGGCUGAACCAGCCAAGUCGCGUGAGGGACGCCUGCCCUAUGGUCUGUAAACCUCUUUUAUAAGGGAAGAAUAACGGCUACGUGUAGCAUGCUGCCUGUCCCUUAUGAAUAAGCAUCGGCUCAAUCCGUGCCAGCAGCUGCGGUAAUACGGAGGAUGCGUGCGUUAUCCGGAUUUAUUGGGUUUAGAGGGUUCGUAGGCGGGUUUUUAAGUUAGUGGUUAAACGUCGGGGCUUCACCUUGAUUUGCCAUUAAUACUGUAAGACGCGAGUUCAGACGAGGUAGGCGGAAUAAGUUAAGUAGCGGUGAAAUGCUUAGAUAUAACUUAGAACUCCGAUAGCGAAGGCAGCUUACCAGACUGCGACUGACGCUGAAGCACGAGAGCGUGGGUAGCGAACAGGAUUAGAUACCCGUGUAGUC